GGCCCCAUCGACCAGGAAGGACUUAAAUGGAGCCCGCGGAGCCACACCAACGCGCCAGCAGACCAGGGACUUUGGCAGGCCCGGUCUGUCUACAGCACAAACGCAGGGCCUGUAGGAGCGUGUCGUGGUGACAGCGUAAAGUGGACAGAACGAACGAAUCCUAAGACGAAAACUAUUUAAAAGCAAUGGCCUGCGGCCGACGCGGGAGAAAAGAGAGGUGGACAGCCUACAGCUUUCCCAAAGCAAGAGCGUGUCAAUAAUCGCACCGUCUCGGGGGCGAGGGCGAAGCGCCCGACCAACCUUGGCAACCCUGAGCCGCCGCCGCCGCUCCCGCUUCCCGCCGCCGCCGCCGGCCCCUGCGCCGCCGCCGCCACCAUGGCUCCCUCCUGCUCGCCCGCCGAGCCGCCUACCGCCGCCGUUGCCGCCGCCGCCGCCCCGUCCCCUCCGAACUGCUCCUCCGACAUAGUGCUACUGCCGCCGCCGAAGACGACACCCGCCGACGCCGCCGCCGCCGCGAACCGAAACUAGCAGCAAAGUAAUCCCCGCCGCCGCCGCGCGAUGCCCGCUCUACCUCGCGAGGCACCCUAGACAAGGCGCGCGCGUGGCUGCAAGGGCUCCUGCGCCUCUCCCCGGCCUGCCCCCCUCGCCUCCCACUCUCGCGCAGCGCGCUCUCUCGCUCUCCCCGGCUGCACUGAAAAAAAAAAGAAUGAAGUAGCAGCGGCGGCCACUCUCGCCUCCUCCUCGCUUUAAUGGCGCCGCCGCGGACCACCUAAAAUGGCCGACGGAAGAACGGCGCGUCCCGGUCACGUGGCUCCGGAGCGCGCCCUUUGCGCCUCCCCCGCCCCCGUCCACCGCUAGGCCCCGCCCCCCGCGCAGGCCCCGCCCUCCCCGUCCCUUUCCGACUGGCUCUCACGCCCCGCGGUCGCGCGGCGCGGGCCUUUAAAGAGGACCGGAAGUGGCGUGCGCAAGAGGGGCGCGCGGGUACCAUCGAGAACAAGGAGCGCUGGUUCGAGGGCGCGGCUAGAGAGGCCUCCCCCGCCCCCGUCCCUUGGCCCCGCCCUUCCGCGGAUUCCUGGAGUCACCGGCCGCUCCUCGGCUUUGGUUGGCAGGCGCGGCCGACCUGGAGGGGUGUGGUUCGUCCAUCCCCAGCGGAGACUUCGUGGAGGCUGCCCUCAGGGAGCCACGGCUGUGGGCCCCGGGACCUGCGUGGGGCAGCGGGCCGCGCCUGUGCAGUGCUCCGCCGUCCCUGCGCCGGGUGACAUUGAGGCUCCGCCGCGGCGCUGUCCAAAGGCGGCUUUGAUGGUCGAGGCUGCCUCUUCUCAGAGUUGCUUCCCUAGUCUUAAGCUUUGCCUCCGUUAUUACAAGAGCCUAACGCCGGCCACGAUUCUUUGAAGUCACUAUGGAUUGGGAAGUGUAUGUAUUAAGGUCGACUCCAGGGCUCCUUUUUUUUUACGAGUUACAGUCCUUGUAUUAAACAGGAUAUAUAAAUGUCAUGAAUCAUCUUUACGAGGUUUCUGGGUUUGUGGUGUUGAGGUGGCGAUUUUAUAAAAAGAAAAAAAUGAAACGCCGUUAGGCGUGUGAUUCACGAUUUUAAAAUUAAUCGCUAAGAAACCUAUUGGAAUUCCUACUCAGGAGUUAGACUUUGAAGCUUCCUGCAAGACUUAGAAGAAAAUGGAAUUUCUGGUUUGGUUUGGUUUGGUUUGGUUUGGUUUUUUUUGUCGUCAACCACUCGACUGCUUAGUAAGUAUCCAGUUUCCAAACAGGGUUUGGAGAAGUUUACAAAAGACAGCAUACAGGGACAGGACUUCAGCCCAGCUAAUUAGGUACACGCUGUAAUCCCAGAACUGUGAUCCCAGAGAAGGGAGGAAGGACUGUUGAGGCCAACCUGGCAUUACCCCUUAGCAAAACACAUAAAAAAAUUUUAAAUAAAUGCUUCCCAUGGUGUACUUUAAGUCAAUUUACAGUAACUGUACAUAAUCUGAAAAUCCCAACGAUUAAAACAAGAUUUAUC
rnacentral:lncRNA from 1 species